GAUGAACGCUAGCGGCAGGCUUAAUACAUGCAAGUCGAGGGGCAGCAGUUUUGUAGCAAUACAGAAGCUGGCGACCGGCAAACGGGUGCGGAACACGUACGCAACCUUCCUUUAACUGGAAGAUAGCCCACCGAAAGGUGGAUUAAUACUCCAUAACAUAUUGAAGAGGCAUCUUUUUGAUAUUAAAGCUCCGGCGGUUAAAGAUGGGCGUGCGUCUGAUUAGGUAGUUGGCGGGGUAACGGCCCACCAAGCCUUCGAUCAGUAGCUGAUGUGAGAGCAUGAUCAGCCACACGGGCACUGAGACACGGGCCCGACUCCUACGGGAGGCAGCAGUAAGGAAUAUUGGUCAAUGGACGCAAGUCUGAACCAGCCAUGCCGCGUGGAGGAUGAAGGCCCUCUGGGUUGUAAACUUCUUUUCUUUGGGACGAAACCCCUGUUUCUACGGGGACUGACGGUACCAGAGGAAUAAGCACCGGCUAACUCCGUGCCAGCCGCCGCAGUAACAC
rnacentral:rRNA from 1 species